UUAAGUUCAGCGGGUAAUCCUACCUGAUUUGAGAUCAAACGUUCAAAAAAGCUGUCCUCGCUGGGGAGGGACAUUUGUGAGCUCCAGAGAACCUUCAUCGCUGAAGGCUAUAUGGUGGAAACCACAAGCGUAGAUAUUUAUCACACCUGUGACGCCACCAAACACUGGUAAGCUGAUCCAUUUGAGAGGAGCCAAACCAU
rnacentral:misc_RNA from 1 species